UGGGGAAUAUUGCACAAUGGGCGCAAGCCUGAUGCAGCAACGCCGCGUGAGGGAUGACGGCCUUCGGGUUGUAAACCUCUUUUAGUAGGGAAGAAGCGAAAGUGACGGUACCUGCAGAAAAAGCACCGGCUAACUACGUGCUAGCAGCCGCGGUAAUACGUAGGGUGCGAGCGUUGUCCGGAAUUAUUGGGCGUAAAGAGCUCGUAGGCGGUCUGUCGCGUCUGCUGUGAAAACCCGAGGCUCAACCUCGGGCCUGCAGUGGGUACGGGCAGACUAGAGUGCGGUAGGGGAGAAUGGAAUUCCUGGUGUAGCGGUGGAAUGCGCAGAUAUCAGGAGGAACACCGAUGGCGAAGGCAGUUCUCUGGGCCGUAACUGACGCUGAGGAGCGAAAGCGUGGGGAGCGAACAGGAUUAGAUACCCUGGUAGUCCACGCCGUAAACGUUGGGCGCUAGAUGUGGGG
rnacentral:rRNA from 1 species